rnacentral:lncRNA from 1 species
UAAAGCAAAUAAAAUAUGCUUUUAUUUUAUUAUAACUGUGUCUACCAAUUUGAACUUUCCAUUAAGACAAAAAAAUGGGUCACCCAGCCCAUUCAUCUAGAUACCUUCCGAAGACUAAAAAAGUACCCACCUUCUUGGUGCCUUAACAAACUUAAGAUCCGCCCCCGUCCCAACACAUACACGCACACCGUCUCUGGUUAUAAUUUUACUAGGAAAUUUGGGUGCAAAAAUAGUGCGGGAAGCACAGACUUGGGUCCCAGGGCAGCCCAACUGAGGGAAUGUGCUUUCUCUGCAAUUCACAACUACGCAGCCCAUUGACUCUCUCCCUAGCCUUCAAAAAUCAAUGGCUGUCUUCGUCUGGAGAUUUUCCUGCAGGUCACCUAAGUAGGGAAUGGGAAAGUGUCUAAGAUGAGGGCAGGACUGGAAAUCUCAUGGGUGGAAAGAGCCAAAUCGUUCUCUGCCUGCGUGUGGGAGAAGAGACUCCAUAACUACUACGUCCCGCAGUUG